GACAUAGGUCGCAAACGUUAUCCGGAAUUAUUGGGCGUAAAGGAUGCGUUAGAUGGUUCAGUAAGUUACUGGUGGGAAAAUCGAGGCCCAACCUCGUGGAAGUUAGUAAUACUGUUGAACUUGAGUGCAGGAGAGGUUAACGGAACUUCAUGUGGAGCGGUAAAAUGCGUAGAUAAUAUGAAAGAACAUCAAUAUAGCGAAGGCAGUUAACUAUUCUGCUACUGACAUUGAGGCAUGAAAGCGAUGGGGAGCAAACGGG
rnacentral:rRNA from 1 species